rnacentral:rRNA from 1 species
UACGAAGGGGGCUAGCGUUAUUCGGAAUCACUGGGCUUAAAGGGCGCGUAGGCGGUGCGGUAAGUCACCUGUGAAACCUCUAGGCUUAACCUAGAGCCUGCAGGCGAAACUGCCGUGCUUGAGACCGGGAGAGGUGAGUGGAAUUCCCAGUGUAGCGGUGAAAUGCGUAGAUAUCAGGAGGAACACCUGUGGUGUAGACGGCUUACUGGACCAUGACUGACGCUGGAGGCACGAAAAGCGUGGGGGAGCAAAACAGG